rnacentral:lncRNA from 9 species
UGAUUUCUCUUCUUUUCUUUUGGUUUGGCAGGUGCCUAGAUUUUUGUCUUUGCACAGGGCAAUGAAAUGGCAGAUGAUCUGGUAACAGUGACAAGAACAAAAUCCCACAUACAACUUAAAAAAAAAAUGAAGAGGCCCUGGAACUGGAUUCAACAGAUUGAGAGGAGGACAAGAUGCCUCAUGCAGCCACUGCUGCUUCAGCCUGAGUCUCAGUAUGAGAAAUGAGGACCACAUGCUCCUGACAAUUGCUGAUCCACCUACAGUUGAUCCUGCAGUCUGGAGCCUAUAGUCCUACCCGUCUUGGCCCUGGAACAGCCCCUCUGCUGCUGAUGGGUAUGAGAAAAAAUGAUUGUUGCUUCAAGUCUAUGAGUGUUAGGGUGCUUUGUUAUUCAGCAUUGUUGUGUGAAUAGCUGACUAAUACAGAUGACCUCCUGAGAUUUUUUUCUAACUCUAUAAAGACAUAUUGACUAUGAAAAUUUCUCAAGUUAUUCCGUUCCAUAAGUGUAUCCAACAGUACUUUGCAAUGUAAUGUGGAUAUUUAGUGCUUUCAACUAAAUGACUUUUCUCUGCAUUGGAAGAACUGGAUCAGUUAAAUAAAUAGAAGUGUGUUUUGAGGGAAUUCUAGAUAUAAUAGGUAUUAAGUGCUGUCUAGUAUAAAGGUAUAAAGGCUGACUAUAUAUUGUGCACUUGGAAUUUGGGAAUUUGAUACUUAUAGGCAUUCCGAGACAUUGUAGAAAGUGAAUUUUGUGCGAAACUCAAAGUGUUCAGAAGUGCUAUGUUGUUUUAAACAGUUCUUAAGUUUGAGCAAACUUCACUCAUAAGCUUUCUAAUUUUCUAAGUAGAAAAAAAAUUUUCAUAUCACAAAGAAUGCAAGUGUGAGGAGCAGUUAGUUCCAAACUGCCUGCUGCUUUCCAGCUAGGAUUGUGUGCAGUUUAUGUCAAAACACUUCAGCAAAGGAAUACAAAUACAGACUAAUGUUUGACUUCUUUUGUUGUGUUGAACUGGAGCCAGCAAAAGUAUUUAUAUAUAAAUCCACUUGUGAAAUGCAUAACCCUUUCAAUGUGACUUAUAUGUUUAAGGCUUAAAGAGAAUUUGGGUUGAUUGACAGAAGCUACCGCUCUUAUAAUGUCAAAAUGUAUGACUGCUUAUGUGGAAACUUUUAAAUUCACUCUUUUUGCUGAGGGAUGUUUACCUUCUGAUUAAGUGCUACUGCAUUAGCACUGAACACUUACUUGCCCUACUAUGUGUAUUGUAAAGCAUAAGCCUUCAAUAUUCGCACCUUCCUUCUUCUCUUUAAAAACCCAAGGGAAACAAAUCCCCCCAAACCCCAAGUGUAUGCCUAAAAUAUCUACUUAGACAUUGCCUGAGGGAAAAAUAGAUGGCUUUGCUGUUUUAAACACUUGAACAUAAUGUAGGUAUAAAAGAGAGUCCUGUCAUAUGGAGUCAAAUAUUUCCCUCCUCUCUUGAACAGUAAUAUUCUGCAAAACUGUUUUCUUCUUAGUUCUUAGUGAGGAACUAAGACAUGGCUUUUGAAUCUAUGAUUUAGAUGAGCUUCUGUGGAUGAACGAAUAUAAAAAAGCACAGGCACAUCAGAUGUCUGAGACACCAUGGAGGAAUGUCAUGUCUCCAUUUUUCAAAAGCUCCAUCCUCCCAUUUUGUUGAACUUUAGUACCUUGUUUAAAUUUUUAUUGCAUUCCCACAUAGUGUUAUGCAUAAGUAUAUAAGAAAUGCCACAACAGAUUAGGUCAAUGGUCCAUCUUGCCUGCCUCUGAGGGAUGUUUGGUAGGGAGAUAAGGUUGUCUUUCUUGACAUCACUCUGAAAACAUUAGGGAUCCACUGCACACAUUCCUCACACCCCUUUAAUAUUCCAUUAUCGAGCCAGCAUUUGAGAAUUUUCCUAAACCUUUUAAAACUUAUUUAUAGUUUCACCCUUUGUUAUUCUUUUGGGAACAUAAGAUCACUGCAUAAUUUGUAUUAAAAAAAAUGGCCUCCUCCAAGUUUUAAGAGUUGGUUCCUGAGGUCUAGAAUUUUGAAACUGGAUGAAUAAGUUCCUGAUUAGAAAACCCACCUCUUCACAAUUUCAUAGAAUUUAGUUACCUGGUAGGCUGCUCCUAAAGUUUUUCCUAAUGAUCCACAAAUCCUGGUGUCCACACCCUUAUGCCCUUCCCUAUGCCUGAACUUGACCAAGUGACUUGCUCCUAAUGUAUAGAAUAUGCCAUGAGUGAUGACAUAUCAAUUUCAAGAUUAGGUUAUAAAAGUGUGACUUCCAUCUUUCUUGUGGACUCUGUGUCUUUCCGUGUGCUUGCUCUAAAGAAGUAAACUAUCAUGUCGUAAGCUGCUACAUGGGAAGGGGUCCACGUGACAACGACCCGAGGGCAACCUUUGGCCAACAGCUGGCAAGGAACUGAAGACCUCAGUCCAACAGCCCUUGAGAACCAGAUCCUGCCAACAAUAAUGUGGUGGGCUUGGAAGCUGAUUCUUCCCUUGCUGGACCUUCAGGUGAGGCAACAGACCCCAGUGACACCAUGACUGCAGCUUUGUAGGAGACUUGGAAAGGAAGUUGGGGGCCAUUUCAGAAGCAGCUUAUCAAGUAAUUAACCAGAGAUUGUGGAGGCAUUUGUCUCUAUGUUAAUUGUAUCUUUGAGAAUAGUCCUGCUUUAAGAUCCUAAGAGUUUGCCAUAUUGGUCCUCCAAAAAUAUUUUUAUUUUGGUAAUUCUAAGACAUGUUCCCCCUCUCAGAUCAUUUAUGUGACUUAAAAAUAAUUUAAGGAAUUCCUGUUGUGGUGCAAAGGGUUAAGAUUCCAACUGCAGCAGCUCAGGUUGCUGCGGAGGUGCGAGUUAGAUCCCCUGCCUGGUGCAGUGGGUUAAAGGAUUCAGCAUUGCUGCACCUGUGGUGUAGGUUGCAGCUGUGGCUAGGAUUCAAUCUCUAGCCUGGGAAUUUCCAUAUGCUGCAGGUGCAGCCAUAAAAAAAAAUAAUUUAAGCAUGAUCUUCACAGAUUUUUAUAUGGUAGAGGUAUUACUUAGUUAUUUCUGUGUAACAGACUACUUUAAAGCAAUAACUGUUUUUUUGGUUCCUGAUUCUGUGGGUUGGCAGUUGGCUGGGCUCGUCUGGGUAAUUAUGAUCUCUGCUAGACUCCUUCAUGAUCUGUCAUUGGUUGCAGGUCACCUAGCCAACUUUGCUGACCUUGGAUAGACUUUUUCACAUCUCUGAGGGCUCGACUGGGACUGACCCACAGACUCAAUUGUGUUCCAUGUGAUAUGAUCCAGCAAGCUAUCCCAGCAUACAUGGCAGCAUCAUCAUCCCAAGAAAACAGGCAGAAGCAGGGCCUCUUGGGUCCUAGGCUUAGGACUGACACAUCUGUUACUCCCACCAUGUUCUAUUGGCUAAAGUAAGUCACAAGGCCAGCCCUGAUUCAUGGGGUGGGGGAAAUUCAAAGUCAGCCAAAAAUGGCGAGGACAGUAGGGAGAAUGAAUCAUUGUGGCUAUUUUUGCAGUCAACCCCAGUGGACACGAUUUAACAUAGAGUCUCCUUCCUUGACAACACAGAAUGCUGUUACACUAAGUGGUGACUAAGUGUUACACCACUGAUGCUGAAUUCUGAUCCCAAUGUUGCAGCUCACCAUCUGGGUGACUGUGUUUCAGUUUACUUUCCUAUACAGUGAGACUGGCAAUAGGCCCUACCUCAUAGGGUCAUUAUGAUAAUGUAAUGAAUUACUGCACAUAAUAAUUGGAGGCCUGAAGUGCUCAAAAACUGUUAGCUAUUAUUAACAAAAUUAUGUUGCUUUGAAACUGUUAUUCACUUUCAUAUUUAUUUCUCUGCUAGACCUUAGACCCAUUGAGGGAGGGACCUUCCUGCAUUUAAUCUUUCAUCAGAAUUUAUUGAGCAUCAUGACAUGCCAGAUAGGAGCUGGGGGAUAACUGGCCUCAGUGGGACAGAAGCCUGUAACUAUGUUAUUUUUAGCACCACCUUUUGUUUGUUUUGUUUUGUUUUUUGUUUGUUUUUUGGUUUGUUGGCUGAGCCUGUGUGCAUGUGGAAUUUCCUGGGCCAGGGAUCAAACCCAUGCCACAGCAGGGACCCAAGCCCCUGUAGUGACAAUGCCAAAUCCUUAACCUGCCGUGCCACAAGAGAACUCUAGUACCAUGUGUAUCUGGUAUCUUACUUUCCUAAACUCCUACCUCCACUUUUUUUUUCCAUUUUUUAAAAUAACUUGUUGGUAUUAUUGUUUAAAUCUUUGGAAUGUUUUCAUACAUGUUUGGUGGUCUCUUUUACAUAUAUCCACUGGUUAUCCUGUGUGUGCCUCUUUGUGUUACUCCAGUCCCAUCAGUUAUAGUAGGUUAGUAAGGCUUUGACUUUUGUUACUGUAUUUUCCAGAACUUUUGUUUCUGUAUUUCCAGACUUUUGUUUCUAUAUCUAUUCCCCGUGUUCCUGAGUUUGUGGUAAAUGUUGAAUACUUUUAAAGGGAACUUAUUAUGUUCAUUUAGCCAAACAGUGGCAUCAUUUAUCCAUUCCUUCUGACAAAUGGGAGUAGUGAGUUCCCAGAGCUGUUGGAUGGAUUAUUUCUGUAAUUUUCAGCAGACAGCAGAGCCAUUUGGUACCUAGGUUUUCUCAUUUGCCAGUUGGGAAUAAAACUAAUGACCCUACUUGUCUAUAGGGUUUCAGUGAAAAGCAAAUUAAAGAAUAGAAUCAAACAAAUUGAGAGAAUGACUCAAUAUCUGUAAUGGGAAUGAGAUCACAUUUGAUAAGGAGCAAAAGUAGCUAAACCAGUGGAGGAGAGAAACUGGCAAAGAUGCCCAAAAUUCUAGGGACCAAAAGGAACUUGUAUCAGUCUAAAGAUUUUUGAAAAAAUAGGAAUAACAUUUUACUUAAUAUAAUUGCUCCCUAUCUUUUCCAUCUUUCCCAGCUUUCCCCCUACUUCAUGAAUGUAAAUCAAGGCUGAACACAGAAGCUUCUGUAUGAUGUAAAAUCACUGUUGUAGUUACUGUAAAAUGUUGCAUGUACUUCACUUCUAUAAGUACAAUGUGUUCUGCUUCACUUUUAUUUUACUCUAUUAGGUAUGCAGCCCAUUUGCCAGGGUGAGUUAUCUCCUCUUAGAGUUUGGUUAUAUACCUAGUCUAUUUUGUAAACAGAAUUUCCAUUAAAAAUGAAUUACUUUUCCUUCGAGCUUAUUGAUGGGGCUGACACAUCGCUAAAUUUCUUUUCUGAGCCAAGAUUUGUCACCUUGAUCAAAAGUUGGCAAAAUGCAAUUUGUGAUCACACGAAAGGUACAAGUGGUGUGUGCCCUUCAAAAGGUUUUCUUAGUGGCACACUUGCCCUUGAUUUUUGUCUUUAAAGCAAUUAACCAGCAGGAACAAAGAAAUAGCAGCUCUGCACUCUGACUCCUCAUAUAGUCUUGGCAUUCACCAGAAACACUUUUCUUCAUUUAGGAAGAAGUGUUCCUCUGACAGACAGUCUGGAACAAAGUGUACUCACACACGUACAGUGAGUCAAGAAUUGGAUUGUGAAACACGAGACCCCAAACAGUAAGCUAAAGAUGUAACAUCGAAUGCUUGGCAGAAAGAUUAUGUUGUAAGCCCUCUGAAAUCCAGCCCAUGACACAGUCAGGCAUUGCUGAUAUUAGCAAUCACUCCCCAAUAUUUCCAAAAAAGGAGGGAAGAAGAAAGUACUGGUUUGGUGAGCUUGUAUGUCUGCUUCUUUCAAUUUUAUCAAUCAAAACUUGUGAAAACAUGUUUUGUUCCCCUGCUUAUUAAUACAUGGUCAAGAUAGAAAAAAAAAAA